AAAACAACCACCUCAGUUUUUUUUUGUUUAAUUUUAGAAAAUUCUGGCACAUCCAAUCGUUGGUUUUUUCAAUGCACUUAGCCAGUUGUUGUAUUGGACAGUUGUCCCCGGUCGACUAGGAUAUAAGUUUGUGUGUCGUCCGCAUAACUAUGCUAACUUCUGUUGUUGUUUUCCAUGAUUUUAGUGAGCGGCAGCAUAUAGAUAUUAAACAGUAAAGGCCACAGGAUGGAGCCUUAGGGAACUACACAUGUCAAACUUGUAC